GCAGUCUUAGUAUAGUGGUUAGUACAGCUCGUUGUGGCUUGUGGUCACUUGAGUUAGCAAGGCCUUUGCGCCGAGCAGACGGAUGUUCGAUUCCUCCAGACUGCA